GAACGCCGUGUGCGAUGAAAGUCGCCCGCACGGUGUAGGCUCGAACGAAGACCCUCACCCACAGAAGGGGAUAAGUCGGGAAUAGCUAUGAAGUGAUUGCCAGACCUGCUCAAAUUUUGCAACCAGUUGGACUUGCGAUUAGCCCGGCUACCGUAAU
rfam:Brevibacillus parabrevis strain CN1 contig_5, whole genome shotgun sequence.